rnacentral:rRNA from 1 species
UAUUUAUUAGUUGGGCACUUUAAGGUGAUUGCCGGUGACUAACCGGAGGAAGGUGGGGAUGACGUCAAAUCAUCAUGCCCCUUAUGACUGGGCUACACACGUGCUACAAUGGACAGAACAAAGGGCAGCGAAACCGGAGGUUAAGCCAAUCCCACAAAUCUUUUUUCGUUUUUGGAUCGCAGUCUGCAACUCGACUGCGUGAAGCUGGAAUCGCUAGUAAUCGCGGAUCAGCAUGCCGCGGUGAAUACGUUCCCGGGCCUUGUACACACCGCCCGUCACACCACGAGAGUUUGUAACACCCGAAGUCGGUGAGGUAACCUUUAUGGAGCCAGCCGCCGAAGGUGGACAGAUGAUUUGGGGGG